AGCGUUUGUCCGCUUUCACUUUCGAAACGAGAGUAUUUACAAAAGUUUGUUUAAAAUACGUUGGUUUUGAGUGAUGUGUCCUUAAUAACUGGUCAUUUUUGUUGUUUCAUUUCACAUUUUGUUCAUUCUCUGCAGUAUGGCGAAACGCAAAAGCAAAGGCCAGUAACAACUUAAUCAACACUCACUUUGUAGACGGUGGAUUCAUCAUUUCCUUUGCUUUUGACAAAGCUUCUGGUAUUAAUUAACAAAACUGACAUAUUUUUGUGUUUUACAGCACAUGGUGGAGUUACUGAAAUGGAGGAAAUGUUACUGAUAUCUCCAAAAGGAGAUGAUGUCGACACAGACUUUGACCAUACACUUGCAGCGGGGCCAUCAAGAGUGAGGAAUCAAUACGGAGCAUUCACGGAAAAGCCAAGACAAUCGACAGACUCCACUAAAGAAUUCAGAUUUAUAGUGCUUGGACAUAAUGAACAUCUUAUGUCUCAAGCAUGCAGCAUCAUCCUUAGGUUAGGACAGGGUGGAGAUACUAAUGUUGGAACAUGUGAGCUUAGGGAUGGCAUUGUUAAUGGACAACCGGUAUCUGUGGUAAAAACUCCAUCCAGCUGGCUAAAAUCAUUCUCCAUUUUCUCCUUCCGCCGUAAACUAAAUUCUAUAAAAAGUGAAAUUGAGUUCUGUCAAUCACUGGUUUUUCCUGGGCCUCAUGCCUUUCUG
rnacentral:lncRNA from 1 species